rnacentral:misc_RNA from 1 species
AAGUCGUAACAAGGUUUCCGUAGGUGAACCUGCGGAAGGAUCAUCAGUAUGACUAAGUUCUACUCUUAACAAUACUCGUUUAAAUAAUGAGUAAAAAAAAACAAGUAUUUGAUAGUAAUAUAAAAAAAAUUACUUGAAAAAACUUGAUAUUUACCUAGUUUUACUAGGAUUCUUUUUUUAUUUUUUAAUUGGGACUUUUAGGAGUGUAUGAUCGUGAAAAAUUGGAUUAUACUCUUUGAUGAGAAUUUUCUCAUUAAAGAACCCAUUUAAAUGACAUUUAAUUUUUAUCAACAGGGAAACUGACGAGGUAAAAGUCGUCAAAAAUGAACAAAACUUUCGGCAAUGGAUCUCUCGGCUCUCC